rnacentral:rRNA from 1 species
GACGAACGCUGGCGGCGUGCUUAACACAUGCAAGUCGAACGGAAAGGCCCUGCUUUUGUGGGGUGCUCGAGUGGCGAACGGGUGAGUAACACGUGAGUAACCUGCCCUUGACUUUGGGAUAACUUCAGGAAACUGGGGCUAAUACCGGAUAGGCGCUCCUGCUGCAUGGUGGGGGUUGGAAAGUUUCGGCGGUUGGGGAUGGACUCGCGGCUUAUCAGCUUGUUGGUGGGGUAGUGGCUUACCAAGGCUUUGACGGGUAGCCGGCCUGAGAGGGUGACCGGCCACAUUGGGACUGAGAUACGGCCCAGACUCCUACGGGAGGCAGCAGUGGAGAAUAUUGCACAAUGGGCGGAAGCCUGAUGCAGCAACGCCGCGUGCGGGAUGACGGCCUUCGGGUUGUAAACCGCUUUCGCAUGUGACGAAGCGUGAGUGACGGUAAUGGGUAAAGAAGCACCGGCUAACUACGUG